rnacentral:lncRNA from 1 species
GGCCAAAUAGACAAUCUUGCACCUCUCAAAUUUCCCUACAUGCACCUCUCUUUUCUAAACCAAGCCAAUUCUAAAGCCCAACACUAACCCUUUUCUACUACACCCCCCUAAGUCUUAUAUUCCUACCCCUCAUAAAUCAUAUUCCACCAGAUUCUGUCACAUGUUCAAAUCCUCCACUCACAGAUCAAACCACCCAGAUGAUGCCACAUCACCGAUCCUUGUACUCACUAGAGAACCAACCAGAUUGUGCCACAUCCUCACCCAUGACACAUCAGCCCUGCCACGUCAACAUCUUCUUCAACCUUUCUCUAAUCAGAAACCCUAGUUCUAAACCCUAGUUACCAUGCGCUGCCACCGCCAGUCUCUCGUCGGACCACCACGCCGUUCAUCACCACCGUCACCUUGCUACCGCAACCAUCUCCCUCGGUCUCCAUCUUCCUCGCCAGAAUCGCAAAUCUCCACUGCAGAAUCGUCCACCAUAGUGCCAGCACCAUGGGCAAUCUCUUAUCACC